rnacentral:rRNA from 1 species
UACGAAGGGGGCUAGCGUUGCUCGGAAUUACUGGGCGUAAAGCGCACGUAGGCGGCUCUUUAAGUCGGGGGUGAAAUCCUGGAGCUCAACUCCAGAACUGCCUUCGAUGCUGAAGAGCUCGAGUCCGGGAGAGGUGAGUGGAACUGCGAGUGUAGAGGUGAAAUUCGUAGAUAUUCGCAAGAACACCAGUGGCGAAGGCGGCUCACUGGCCCGGUACUGACGCUGAGGUGCGAAAGCGUGGGGAGCAAACAGG